CGUGUAGGCGGGAAUGCAAGUCUGAUGUGAAAGCCCUGGGCUUAACCUGGGAAGUGCAUUGGAAACUGCAUUUCUUGAGUACUGGAGAGGAAGGGGGAAUUCCCGGUGUAGAGGUGAAAUUCGUAGAGAUCGGGAGGAAUACCAGUGGCGUAGGCGCCCUUCUGGACGGUUACUGACGCUGAGACGCGAAAGCGUGGGGAGCAAACA
rnacentral:rRNA from 1 species